rnacentral:rRNA from 1 species
UACGGAGGGGGCUAGCGUUGUUCGGAAUUACUGGGCGUAAAGCGCACGUAGGCGGACUGUUAAGUCGGGGGUGAAAUCCUGGGGCUCAACCUCAGAAUUGCCUGCGAUACUGGCAGUCUCGAGUGCGGGAGAGGUGAGUGGAAUUCCCAGUGUAGAGGUGAAAUUCGUAGAUAUUGGGAAGAACACCAGUGGCGAAGGCGGCUCACUGGCCCGUAACUGACGCUGAGGUGCGAAAGCGUGGGGAGCAAACAGG